rnacentral:rRNA from 1 species
GACGUAGGGGGCAAGCGUUGUCCGGAAUCAUUGGGCGUAAAGCGCUCGUAGGUGGAUCGGUAAGUCUGCAAAGAAAGACCCGGGCUCAACUCGGGGAACGGUGUGGAUACUACCGAUCUUGAGGCAAUCAGAGGAUGAUGGAAUUCCCGGUGUAGCGGUGAAAUGCGUAGAGAUCGGGAGGAACACCAGAGGCGAAGGCGGCGACCUGGACAAGUACUGACACUCAACUACGAAAGCGUGGGUAGCAAACAGG